rnacentral:miRNA from 1 species
UCUCUGACACACGCCCUCCUGC